rnacentral:rRNA from 1 species
GGAGCGCAACUGACGCUCAUGCUCGAAAGUGCGGGUAUCGAACAGGAUUAGAUACCCUGGUAGUCCGCACGGUAAACGAUGGAUGCCCGCUAUUUGUCCAUUAGGAUAAGUGGCCAAGUGAAAACGUUAAGCAUCCCACCUGGGGAGUACGCCGGCAACGGUGAAACUCAAAGGAAUUGACGGGGGCCCGCACAAGCGGAGGAACAUGUGGUUUAAUUCGAUGAUACGCGAGGAACCUUACCCGAGCUUGAAUUGUGAGAGAAGGAUCCAGAGAUGGUGACGCCCUUCGGGGCUCUCAUGAAGGUGCUGCAUGGUUGUCGUCAGCUCGUGCCGUGAGGUGUCGGCUUAAGUGCCAUAACGAGCGCAACCCCUCUCUUCAGUUGCCAUCAGGUUAAGCUGGGCACUCUGGAGACACUGCCACCGUAAGGUGUGAGGAAGGUGGGGAUGACGUCAAAUCAGCACGGCCUUUACGUCCGGGGCUACACACGUGUUACAAUGGGUGGUACAGAGAGUUGGGUGCCCGCAAGGUCACUCUAAUCAAUAAAUUCAUCCUCAGUUCGGACUGGGGUCUGCAACCCGACCCCACGAAGCUGGAUCGCUA